rnacentral:lncRNA from 1 species
AAAACUUCUCAUUGACCAAUACUUAAUAAAAUAUCAACCUCAAUUUCCAUUCUUAUAAAUUUUAAAAUUUUUUUUUAACUUAAUCUUGGUUCAUGUACAUUCUUUGAUCUAUAGCUAAUCUAUGUGUGUUUUAAAAAAAUUAAAUUUAUUUUUCACUAUAUUUUUAUUAAAAAAUGUGUACAUUUAAUAUUUUGUAAUUAAAUGUUUUUAUCGCAUAAAUUCCCAAAUUUUAUCCCCUCCUCAAUUAAUAUAUUAUUUCUUUCACUAACUUCAUUAUAAUAAAUUUUGGAACCCUUAUUUGAGGGCUUUAAAUUUCACUUUUAUAAGGGUAACAUUAGAGCGCCUCAAAAUAAAAUUGAUAUUACACAAUAAAAUUUUACUACAAAAUACUCAUUCUACUCUUAUAUAUGUAAUCUGCCCUAAACAUUGAGAUUUACAAAAACAAAAUCUCAAUACAAAUAUUCUAUAAUUUACUACAAAAUAUUCACCACGCAUCAUUCUUUUAAUUUCUACAACGUAAUCCAAAAUUAACUUAGAGUUCUCGCAUUUAUAUUUCAAUAUGUUUUUGGUUGAUGUUUUAUGCACAGCAACUUUCUACCCAGUCGGAACAAAUAAAUUGAAGGUAUAGAAUAUAUAGCACUACAUCAUCUCCUAUUUUUCAUUCUAAGCAAUCAUCAUAAUCAACAUUUUACAACUUUAAUAAUUUUCCUUUUUGCUUUUCUUAUAUAACAUAGUUGAAGCAAGGUACACAACAACAGAUUCAUUUCCCUUAUUACAACUACUCCAAAUUUCUUUACUUCUCUAUUUUUAACCUUAUCAUAUUCUUAAUUUCUUUUAAUUCAGCUGAAUUAAUUCUUCUUUCCCGACCAUAUCUAAAUUUUUUAUUACUUCUAAAUAAAAUUUAUAUUAUAACCAAUAACGAAGUCAGAGAUUUUUUUUAAGGGAUUAAAACUUAAUUAUAAAAUUUUUAAGAGAUCCAAAUGUAAGUUUACAAUGUAUUAUUUAUAGUUCCAUUAUUUUUUAAGGGAUUAAAUAUAUUUUUUAUUUUUCAUAUUUAAGGGGCUAAAGUUCAGUUUUAUUAUAAAUUAAUUUACAAUUUUAUUAUUUUUAAAGAGAUUGAACUAAAAUAUUUCAUUUUUAGGGGAUUAAGGCCCUGCCAGCUAGAACUGUUCUUUGGUCAGGGCUUCCCGCCCAAAAUUUUGGAGGGUUUGAACAAAAAUAUUAGGCCUGAAAAAUGAGUUUGAGCAAAAAAAUGAGCAAAAAAAUAAGUCUGUUUAAACUUAGGCUUGAACAGUCAAUACCCAAGCCCAAUUCGACCCAUUUUUAAGUUUAUAAUACUUUAUAUUAUGUUAUUUUUAUAUAUUAUGUAAUUUAGAACACAUUAAAAAAAUAAACAUAUACUAAAUAUAUAAUAUUACUCUAAUGUAAACAUUAAAAUAAUAUUAAGAUGACUAUAUAAAAAUUCUCAAUAAAUAAAAAAUUUAUAAAUUUAUAAAAUAUUAAAAUAUUAAAAUAAAAUAAAAUAAAUUUUUUUAAAAAAUAAAAAAUAAUAUGGGCGGGCCUAAAAUGAGUUUGGGUUAGUCUUUUGCAAAUAUUGACGAAUUUGGAUAAAAUUUUAAGCCUAUAUUCAAGCCGGACUUGGACAAACGUAAAAAAUAUUAAUAUCAUUUUUAGACUCGACUCAUGAACACCUCUAUUAUCACCCCGUUAACUUCUAUAUUUCUAUUACUUCAUACUAUUUAACAAUUGAAAAUUCAGUUCAAUAUAAUUUUCAAAAUGCCUUAGCACCCAUUUUCUUUUUCAAUAAAGGUUAGUAAUUAUAUUAAAGAAAGUAUUUAUAAACAAUUUUAUUUACGUUCAUGAAGAAAAAUUAGUAUAUAAAAUGCAAUCUCCUUGAGAAAUAUAGACAAUUUUAAUAAAAUUAUUACAUAUUCAUGAUUUCAAAGACGGUAAGAAUAUACUUACUUUUCGUUUCCGUGUAAUGUUAUUCAUCAUGUGAGUUACAUAAUUUUACUACACUUAUUGCAAUUUUGAUGGUUUUUAUUUUUUCCGUUUAUCAAUUACUCUUAAAUUUUAGUAUAUUAAUUAAUAUUAAUACUUAUACUCGGAGCCACAACCAAUGCUUUAAUUAUCUUUCUCAUGUUUUAUUUAAACAUCGACAUCCAUACUUACCAUUGUUAAACUUUACGUGCAAUCUUUUAGCUAAUUUGAAAUAAAAUGAUUAUUUUAUCUCUAAUUGAUUAAAUUAAUAAUAAAUAAAUAAAAGAAUUUAAAUUCUUGUUGAACAAUUAAGUGGAGCAAUUAAAUUCUACAAUAACUCUAUUUUAUUCAAGUAAUUGACAUUAUAAAAAGGGGUCAACUAAGCCACUUUAAACUAGGGACACAAGUUCAGGAAGCCAAGAAAAUCUCUAUAGAAUUCUCUGAAGAAGCCGAAGAACUUGAAGGAAUUCUAAAGAAUAUCACAUCAAUUCUGAAGAAAAGCUGCCUUCCUAUCUAGUUCAACUGCAGAGAAGAAGCCAAAAGUCAUUUAUGGAGAAAGCCACCUUUCGAUCCAAAUCAAUUGAAGAAAGGAGGUCUAAACCUGUUUUAAGAGCAAGUCGCCAUGACAUUUGAAGCAGUCCACAUCCAUCCAAGGCCAAGUCAGGUGACCCAUGGAUCGAAGCCAAAUUGGAGAGAAGAAUCAAAUGAGGUUUUCUUUGUAUUCGAGAAAAUUUUAUAUAUUGUAACUUCCUUUCAAAGUUAUCAAUAAAUUUGACUCCAAAUUUUCAAGUCAACUUUUGACUCAAAAUUUGUGCGUACGAAUUUCUGGCACGCCUAGUAGGACAAUCUUUUCCUUUCAUCUCCUUUUGAAAAGUCAAUGUUCAAAGUUGCUAUGGCCUUAAAGAAGACCAUCAUCAGCAAGCUCACUCAAGCUAAUCUUGCAGUUUGUUUAGCUUUAUCAUCAAGCACUAAUGUCCCUACUCAUCCCUAUGACACUAAGCAAAAGAUGAAAGCUCUCAUUGAGUUAUUUGGUUAAACUUCUUCAAUGCUUAAUGACAAUUCAAUCUAUGAUUCUUCUUUACCAACGCAUGACUCAGAAGAAGUCUCUCCUCAUGAAUUAAGUGUAGCUAGCCACUUACCAUUCAAG